rnacentral:rRNA from 1 species
GGCCUGCGCGGAAGAUGUAACGGGGCUAAACCAUGCACCGAAGCUGCGGCAGCGACACUAUGUGUUGUUGGGUAGGGGAGCGUUCUGUAAGCCUGCGAAGGUGUACUGUGAGGUAUGCUGGAGGUAUCAGAAGUGCGAAUGCUGACAUAAGUAACGAUAAAGCGGGUGAAAAGCCCGCUCGCCGGAAGACCAAGGGUUCCUGUCCAACGUUAAUCGGGGCAGGGUGAGUCGACCCCUAAGGCGAGGCCGAAAGGCGUAGUCGAUGGGAAACAGGUUAAUAUUCCUGUACUUGGUGUUACUGCGAAGGGGGGACGGAGAAGGCUAUGUUGGCCGGGCGACGGUUGUCCCGGUUUAAGCGUGUAGGCUGGUUUUCCAGGCAAAUCCGGAAAAUCAAGGCUGAGGCGUGAUGACGAGGCACUACGGUGCUGAAGCAACAAAUGCCCUGCUUCCAGGAAAAGCCUCUAAGCAUCAGGUAACAUCAAAUCGUACCCCAAACCGACACAGGUGGUCAGGUAGAGAAUACCAAGGCGCUUGAGAGAACUCGGGUGAAGGAACUAGGCAAAAUGGUGCCGUAACUUCGGGAGAAGGCACGCUGAUAUGUAGGUGAAGUCCCUCGCGGAUGGAGCUGAAAUCAGUCGAAGAUACCAGCUGGCUGCAACUGUUUAUUAAAAACACAGCACUGUGCAAACACGAAAGUGGACGUAUACGGUGUGACGCCUGCCCGGUGCCGGAAGGUUAAUUGAUGGGGUUAGCGGUAACGCGAAGCUCUUGAUCGAAGCCCCGGUAAACGGCGGCCGUAACUAUAACGGUCCUAAGGUAGCGAAAUUCCUUGUCGGGUAAGUUCCGACCUGCACGAAUGGCGUAAUGAUGGCCAGGCUGUCUCCACCCGAGACUCAGUGAAAUUGAACUCGCUGUGAAGAUGCAGUGUACCCGCGGCAAGACGGAAAGACCCCGUGAACCUUUACUAUAGCUUGACACUGAACAUUGAGCCUUGAUGUGUAGGAUAGGUGGGAGGCUUUGAAGUGUGGACGCCAGUCUGCAUGGAGCCGGCCUUGAAAUACCACCCUUUAAUGUUUGAUGUUCUAACGUUGGCCCCUGAUCGGGGUUGCGGACAGUGUCUGGUGGGUAGUUUGACUGGGGCGGUCUCCUCCUAAAGAGUAACGGAGGAGCACGAAGGUUGGCUAAUCCUGGUCGGACAUCAGGAGGUUAGUGCAAUGGCAUAAGCCAGCUUGACUGCGAGCGUGACGGCGCGAGCAGGUGCGAAAGCAGGUCAUAGUGAUCCGGUGGUUCUGAAUGGAAGGGCCAUCGCUCAACGGAUAAAAGGUACUCCGGGGAUAACAGGCUGAUACCGCCCAAGAGUUCAUAUCGACGGCGGUGUUUGGCACCUCGAUGUCGGCUCAUCACAUCCUGGGGCUGAAGUAGGUCCCAAGGGUAUGGCUGUUCGCCAUUUAAAGUGGUACGCGAGCUGGGUUUAGAACGUCGUGAGACAGUUCGGUCCCUAUCUGCCGUGGGCGCUGGAGAACUGAGGGGGGCUGCUCCUAGUACGAGAGGACCGGAGUGGACGCAUCACUGGUGUUCGGGUUGUCAUGCCAAUGGCACUGCCCGGUAGCUAAAUGCGGAAGAGAUAAGUGCUGAAAGCAUCUAAGCACGAAACUUGCCCCGAGAUGAGUUCUCCCUGACUCCUUGAGAGUCCUGAAGGAACGUUGAAGACGACGACGUUGAUAGGCCGGGUGUGUAAGCGCAGCGAUGCGUUGAGCUAACCGGUACUAAUGAACCGUGAGGCUUAACCUU